CAAACAUGAAGAUCAGACUUGAGAGUUAAAAUUCUCAGGACCUAGGGAAAUUCCAGCCAGGCAUGGUGGCGUGGCAGCCACCAGUAAUUCCCACUCCCAAAGGCAGAUAUAGUAUUGCCCAAGUGCAAGCUGUGCAGUGAGGCUAGUCCUAUCAGUGAGCCCUGGAUUUGAUUAGCCCUGAAUCGGGAAUGAGAGGCAAGAGCUAGCUGAUGUCUGACGUCAGUCUCCAGCCUCCAUAAGCAUAUGCACACGCACACAUGCACAUUCACUACACAUAAGCACACAGCACACACGUGAGCACACACACGGAAGUAGGAAAGACGAGAUUUAACAGAAAGCAUGGCAUUUACAGUUGUCCUUCAUUUGACAGUUGAUUCCUCACCUUCACUGCCGCCCCCUCCUCUUCCUCCUCCUUCCUCUUCUCUUGGGGACUAAACCUGGGCCUGCCCUCCACCACUGACCUGCGCCUGCCUCUGAGCAUUCACUCUUGUUUCAGUUUGGUUUUUGUUUUCAGACAGAAACUCACUCUGUGGCCUAGGCUGGCUUGUCAUUUCUCAUAAUGUUCUCCAGAAGAAUUACAAGGUUUUCAUCAAAGAAUUCACUCACUCUAAGUUAUAUUUAUUCCGAGACACUGUCCACCUCAUUGCCAUCAUAAACAGCAUCUUGCAGUUUCUACUUUGUCUUGAAGGUACAUAAGAAUCCACUGGGCUCGGGACCCUUAUCUCUUCUAGUUUGUGACUAGCCAACAGUAUUGAAUCCUCUUACUCUAAUGAGAUGUUAAUUGUCUUGAACUUUUUGGUUGUUCAUUGUUUCAGAUACUAACAGUAAUAGUUUGGCUCCUUUCUCCCCAAUAUUUUUUUGAGGAAAUGUUUAUUUUCCUUAUCACAUUUCAGGACCUCACCAAAAGACAUGUGCUUUGUAGCUGUGGUAAAAGGUGUGUUCUGCUCUUGCUCUUCUGGUAGAUACUUUGGUGAAGUUAAAGAUAUUUGACUUUUAGGAGUUUUUAUUAGGACUUGGUGAGUUUCAUGUAAAACAGUCAAUACACUGUACUUUGUGCCAGCUACAUGGGAGCCCCUAACUGAGGGAUUAGGAAAGACUAGCAGGGCACAUGUUAACAAAGUAAAAGGAAUGGCUAGAAAUUGGAGACAGCAGUCACUGUGAUAAUCAUGAUUGUAUUUGCUUCCAAAACAGGUUUAUUCUCACAGAGCAACAAGAGAGGGAGAUGAAGAAAAGUCCACAAGGGGUAAGAAAUCCUACAAGGACAGUGAGAGUCAGGAAGGAUUUUUCUGGCUAAGGUGGCCACUAUGGCUUAGGGAUAUGUAUAGGCCGCUGCAUGACACACGCAAGAAAAACAUGGCUCAGGAUCUACAGGACAAGGAGUCCUCUGGAGAGGAGGAGAUUUUCAAUAAGAACGUACCAAGGGAGGGCAAGGAAGAAGUGGUGGUGAUCCAGACCCGAGUGUCGACCACCGAUGCAGAAGAGAGCGAAGCAGCCGAUGCUGAAACCACAGAGUGAACUGCUACCCUUUAUUAAUAAAUUAUUUUUUGUAGA